rnacentral:misc_RNA from 1 species
GAUGAAGAACGCAGUGAAAUGCGAUAAGUAAUGUGAAUUGCAGAAUUCAGUGAAUCAUCGAAUCUUUGAACGCACAUUGCGCCCCCUGGUAUUCCGGGGGGCAUGCCUGUCUGAGCGUCAUUUCAACCCUCAAGCAACUUCUGCUUGGUGUUGGGGAUCGGCCGUCAAACGCCGCCCCCGAAAUCUAUUGGCGAUCUCGCUGUAGCUUCCUAUGCGUAGUAGUAACAUCUCGCAUCUGGAGAGCGGCGCGGUCAUGCCGUAAAACACCCAACUUCUCAGGUUGACCUCAGAUCAGGUAGGAAUACCCGCUGAACUUAAGCAUAUCAAUAAGCGGAGGA